UACAGAGGAGCCAAGCGUUGUCCGGAUUGACUGGGCGUAAAGCGCACGCAGGCGGGUGCGCGCGGGGGGGGUGAAAUCUGGCCGCUUAACGGCCAGGCGCCAUCCCAUACGGCGCGCCUGGAGCCUUGCAGAGGUCGGUGGAAUUGCCGGUGUAGUGGUGAAAUGCGUAGAUAUCGGGAGGAACACCAGUGGCGAAGGCGACUACCUGGCCUGUUCUUGACGCUGAGGCGCGAAAGCUAGGGGAGCAAACGGG
rnacentral:rRNA from 1 species